rnacentral:rRNA from 1 species
UACGUAGGGGGCAAGCGUUGUCCGGAAUCAUUGGGCGGAAAGCGCGUGUAGGCGGCCUUGUAAGUCCGUUCUGAAAGUCCGGGGCUCAACCCCGGGAGGCGGAUGGAUACUGCAAGGCUCGAGUACGGAAGAGGCGAGUGGAAUUCCCGGUGUAGCGGUGAAAUGCGCAGAUAUCGGGAGGAACACCAAUGGCGAAGGCAGCUCGCUGGGACGUUACUGACGCUGAGGCGCGAAAGCGUGGGGAGCAAACAGG